rnacentral:rRNA from 1 species
UUAGAGUUUGAUCCUGGCUCAGAUUGAACGCUGGCGGCAUGCCUUACACAUGCAAGUCGAACGGCAGCGCGGACUUCGGUCUGGCGGCGAGUGGCGAACGGGUGAGUAAUACAUCGGAACGUACCCUGUUGUGGGGGAUAACUAGUCGAAAGAUUAGCUAAUACCGCAUACGACCUGAGGGUGAAAGUGGGGGACCGCAAGGCCUCACGCAGCAGGAGCGGCCGAUGUCUGAUUAGCUAGUUGGUGGGGUAAAGGCCCACCAAGGCGACGAUCAGUAGCUGGUCUGAGAGGACGAUCAGCCACACUGGGACUGAGACACGGCCCAGACUCCUACGGGAGGCAGCAGUGGGGAAUUUUGGACAAUGGGGGCAACCCUGAUCCAGCAAUGCCGCGUGUGUGAAGAAGGCCUUCGGGUUGUAAAGCACUUUUGUCCGGAAAGAAAUCGCGCUGGUUAAUACCUGGCGUGGAUGACGACCGAA